UACGUAGGUGGCGAGCGUUGUCCGGAUUUACUGGGCGUAAAGAGCGCGCAGGCGGUCGUUCAAGUCGCGUGUGAAAGCCCCCGGCUCAACUGGGGAGGGUCACGCGAUACUGAUCGACUCGAAGGCAGGAGAGGGAAGUGGAAUUCCCGGUGUAGUGGUGAAAUGCGUAGAUAUCGGGAGGAACACCAGUGGCGAAGGCGACUUCCUGGCAUGUUCUUGACGCUGAGGCGCGAAAGCUAGGGGAGCAAACGGG
rnacentral:rRNA from 1 species